CACGUAGGAGGCGAGCGUUAUUCGGAUUUACUGGGCGUAAAGCGCGUGUAGGCGGCUCAAUAAGUUGGAUGUGAAAGCUCCCGGCUUAACUGGGAGAGGACGUUCAAAACUAUAGAGCUUGAGUGUGAGAGAGGAAAAUGGAAUUCCGGGUGUAGUGGUGAAAUGCGUAGAUAUCCGGAGGAACACCAGUGGCGAAGGCGAUUUUCUGGCUCGCAACUGACGCUCAGACGCGAAAGCUAGGGUAGCAAACGGGAUUAGAGACCCCGGUAGUCCUAGCUGUAAACGAUGUAGACUAGGCGUUGGUGGAGUAAAAUCCAUCAGUGCCGGAGCAAACGCGAUAAGUCUACCGCCUGGGGACUACGGCCGCAAGGUUA
rnacentral:rRNA from 1 species